CCAAUAGCGUAUAUUAAAGUUGUUGCAGUUAAAAAGCUCGUAGUUGAAUUUCGAGACCGGUUUACUGGUCGUGCUUUUGUACGUACUGGUAUUAUUGGUUUCUCCUUUCUGACGAACUAUAAUGCCAUUAAUUUGGUGUUUUAGGGAAUCAGGACUGUUACUUUGAAAAAAUUAGAGUGUUUAAAGCAGGCUCACGCUUGAAUACAUUAGCAUGGAAUAACGGAAUAGGACGUUUGAUUCUAUUUUGUUGGUUUCUAGGAUCGACGUAAUGAUUAAUAGGGAUAGUUGGGGGCAUUAGUAUUCAAUUGUCAGAGGUGAAAUUCUUGGAUUUAUUGAAGACUAACUACUGCGAAAGCAUUUGCCAAGGAUGUUUUCAUUAAUCAAGAACGAAAGUUAGGGGAUCGAAGACGAUCAGAUACCGUCGUAGUCUUAACCAUAAACUAUGCCGACUAGGGAUCGGAUGAUGUUAAUUUUUUAAUGACUCAUUCGGCGCCUUACG
rnacentral:rRNA from 1 species